UACGGGGGGUGCGAGCGUUGUCCGGAAUUACUGGGCGUAAAGCGCGCGCAGGCGGCCUUUUAAGUCUGCUGGUGAAAUGCCGGGGCUCAACCCCGUGCCCGCCACAGAUACUGGGAGGCUGGAGACGAGUAGAGGCAAGCGGAAUUCCGGGUGUAGCGGUGGAAUGCGUAGAGAUCCGGAAGAACACCGGAGGCGAAGGCGGCUUGCUGGGCUCGGUCUGACGCUGAGGCGCGAAAGCGUGGGGAGCGAACAGG
rnacentral:rRNA from 1 species